AUUGUUUUUAACAGUAGGCAUUGCUCUCAUUGAACCAGCUUCCAGUCCUUUUAGGUCCUUUCUGAAGGAAAUUUUUUUACCCUCUCUGUUACUUAUCUGCACUUCUUAUGCAUGACUCGAAUCUCAUCUUAACAGUAAAGGAUUUGUACUCUUGUUAAAUUUUUUUGAAGAAAUCCGUUAAUUCUGUUAUUCACUUUCCGAAUAUGCAAUAGAAUCUCUUGAUGACAUUUUUCUGUUAUUUUUACUCUCCCUUUCUUCUUCAUCUUCUUUUGCUGUGAUGGUAUCUUCCUUUCCUUACGGUAGUUGCUGGUGUUUGAUUUUAGAUUCAUACAAUCAUUAGUAGUGUUCCUUCCUCCAUUCCAUAUACUAACUAAUGGUAGCUGUCAUGAACUUUUGCCGCUGCUUCUUUCACUUCAACUGGAUUAUGGACUUACUGGAUUCUCAAUUGCUUUCAUAGAUAGGACAAGGU
rnacentral:misc_RNA from 1 species